rnacentral:rRNA from 1 species
GACGAACGCUGGCGGCGCGCCUAACACAUGCAAGUCGAACGAGCAAAGAGGAGCUUGCUUCUCUGAGCGAGUGGCGAACGGGUGUGUAACGCGUGAGGAACCUGCCUCAAAGAGGGGGACAACAGUUGGAAACGACUGCUAAUACCGCAUAAGCCCACGGGUCGGCACCGACCAGAGGGAAAAGGAGUGAUCCGCUUUGAGAUGGCCUCGCGUCCGAUUAGCUAGUUGGUGAGGUAACGGCCCACCAAGGCGACGAUCGGUAGCCGGACUGAGAGGUCGAACGGCCACAUUGGGACUGAGACACGGCCCAGACUCCUACGGGAGGCAGCAGUGGGGAAUAUUGCACAAUGGGGGAAACCCUGAUGCAGCGACGCCGCGUGGAGGAAGAAGGUCUUCGGAUUGUAAACUCCUGUUGUUGAGGAAGAUAAUGACGGUACUCAACAAGGAAGUGACGGCUAACUACGUGCCAGCAGCCGCGGUAAAACGUAGGUCAUAAGCGUUGUCCGGAAUUACUGGGUGUAAAGGGAGCGCAGGCGGGAAGACAAGUUGGAAGUGAAAUCCAUGGGCUCAACCCAUGAACUGCUUUCAAAACUGUUUUUCUUGAGUAGUGCAGAGGUAGGCGGAAUUCCCGGUGUAGCGGUGGAA